UCGCUAACUCCUCCGAAGGCUUUCGUUCCACCGGCACCAAAUUUGCUCAGGCCAAUCUACACCCCAUGGCCAUUAAAAGUUGUACAAAUCAUGACGCUGCACCCCACGGUUUAGGUUCUAGGCGGCGCCAAAGAUAACCCAAAAAUCCUCAUUCUUAAAAGUCUUAUAACUUUUUAUUUUUGUCCUCACUGGCCUCCAAGGUUUCUAGGAUGAUGCAAUGUCCAGCCAUCAACUCAUUUGUGAAGGAGUUUUUACUCCCCAAAAGAGCGCCCCCCCAUGGCAGGAGAAAAAAGUCCAUUUUUUCUUGUCUCCUAAGGUAAAAAUACACAUUGUUGAGUGUCACGCCUAUACACUUUGUCAUAUUGACACACAAUUUGACAAUCACGUGUAUCUCAAUAAGAUCUACAAAAAAGUCAAUAGGCACGUAUCUGUCAAAUGUACGGUUAAAGGGCUAUUUCGCAUUUUUUGCCGAUUCGCACACAUUGGAAUGUGGCUAUCUCCUUCUAAGGCUUUCGUCCCACCGAUACCAAAUUUGCUCAGGCCAAUCUACACCCCAUGGCCAUUCAAAGUUGUAAAAAUCAUGCCGCUGCACCCCACGGUUUACGUUCUAGGGGGCGCCAAAGAUGACCCAAAAAUCCACAUUCUUAAAAGUCUUUUUGGUCACUGCAGGAGUACAGAGUACUGCAGGAUACACACACAUAUACACACACACACACACACACACACACACACACACACACACACACUCAGAGUCUGUUUUUUAGCACCUGCAAAAACAUGCUGUUUACAUAUUUGACAAGAAUGCAGAGGCUUCCUUUUGCCCCUGAAAAAAAUCAAAUUUCAAACACAACUUGACUGUUCAUUUCUCCAAAUGACAACCAUGAAGCUCCAUCCAAACCUGAAGCAGGCAGUUGGUGCAUGUGUACAGUAACCUGAGGGGAGUGAGGUGACUGCUUCUGAGGAGAACAUGAGCAGUGAAGAUUCACCUUGGAGCGAGAACAGGGACGUGCACAUGAUUAUACAGGGGCAGGGGCUCAAGUUUUUUCCAGUCGUUUAUACAAUAUGGAAAUUAAUGUGAAAUUAAAAAACAAAGUAUUAAUAGAAAGGUAAUGACUGUCCUGUGUAGGUGACAGUGAUAUCCAAUAGGCUAGGCACUCACGAGGCUGGCUGUGGCAAGUGUAAGUGAAAGCAACACGCACUGGCAGGAAGAACAGCAAACCCCGAUGAAGGAAAAGGGUCUUUGCAGUGAUGGGCGUUACCAGAGAGGACGAUGGCCAGAGGACGCGAAUGGGACGGGGAGGCAGCGCGUUGGGGGGGGGGCGCGACACAGCUCGGGCCCGCCAGUGCCCCAACGGGGCCCUAGUUAGGGCCCGAGCGUAGCUGCUAAGCAGCUGCGAGAGCCCUAUUAUUCCUGAUGGAUUCUUCUUUCUUCUUCUUAUUAGGGCCCGAGCCAGCUGCAGAGCAGCCGGGCGUAGGCCCUAUUAUUCCCCAAGUGGUUUUUCUUUGUUUCUUUAGGGCCCGAGCGUAGCUGCUAAGCAGCUGCGAGAGCCCUCUUGUUCCUGUAGUUUCCUUCUUUUGUUAUUAUUAUUAUUAUUUUUCCUCCCCUUUGAACUGGAAAAUGGCCCACUUCCCACUGGCGAAAACUCAUGAAAUUUGGCAGGACGACCGGGCCUGGUGAAAAAUUUGAUAUUCCGAAGUUGCCCAAACAAGAAAAUGCAAAAUGGCUCCAUAGCGCCCCCUAAGGUGAAAAUUCACACUAUUCACUGUCACGCCGGUACGCUUUGUCAAAAUGACACAAAAAUUGACACACACAUGUAUCUCAAUAAGAUCUACAAAAAAGUCAGUGCGGGCGUAUCUGUCAAAUGUACGGUUAAAGGGUUAUUUCGCAUUUUUUGCCGAUCCGCACACAUUGGAAUUUCGCUAACUCCUCCGAAGGCUUUCGUUCCACCGGCACCACAUUUGCUCAGGCCAAUCUACACCCCAUGGCCAUUAAAAGUUAUUCAAAUCAUGACGCUGCACCCCACGGUUUAGGUUCUAGGGGGCGCCAAAGAUAACCCUAAGAUCCACAUAUUUAAAAGUCUUAUAACUUUUUAUUUUUGCCCUCACUGGCCUCCAAGUUUUCUAGGAUGAUGCAAUGUCCAGCCAUCAACACAUUUGUGAAGGAAUUUUUACUCCCUAAAAGAGCGCCCCCCCAUGGCAGGAGAAAAAAGUCCAUUUUUUCUUGUCCCCUAAGGUGAAAAUACACAUUGUUGAGUGUAACACCUGUACGCUUUGGCAAAAUGACACAAAAAUUGACACACACAUGUAUCUCAAUAAGAUCUACGAAAAAGUCAAUGCGCGCGUAUCUGUCAAAUGUACGGUUAAAGGGUUAUUCCGCAUUUUUUGCCGAUCCGCACACAUUGGAAUUUCGCUAACUCCUCCGAAGGCUUUCGUUCCACCGGCACCACAUUUGCUCAGGCCAAUCUACACCCCAUGGCCAUUAAAAGUUAUUCAAAUCAUGACGCUGCACCCCACGGUUUAGGUUCUAGGGGGAGCCAAAGAUAACCGUAAAAUCCACAUAUUUAAAAGUCUUAUAACUUUUUAUUUUUGUCCCCACUGGCCUCCAAGUUUUCUAGGAUGAUGCAAUGUCCAGCCAUCAACACAUUUGUGAAGGAAUUUUUACUCGGCAAAAGAGCGCCCCCCCAUGGCAGGAGAAAAAAGUCAAUUUUUUCUUGUCCACUAAGGUGAAAAUACACAUUGUUGAGUGCUACGCCUGUAUGUUUUGUCGUAUUGACACAAAAUUUUACAUACACGUGUAUUUACAUAAGAUCUUCGAAAAAGUCAAUGGCCACGUAUCUGUAAAAUGUACGGUUAAAGGGUUAUUUCGCUUUUUGCAGAUUCGCACACAUUGGAAUUUCGCUAAUUCCUCCGAAGGCUUUCGUUCCACCGGCACCACAUUUGCUCAGGCCAAUCUACACCCCAUGGCCAUUAAAAGUUAUUCAAAUCAUGACGCUGCACCCCACGGUUUAGGUUCUAGGGGGCGCCAAAGAUAACCCUAAAAUCCACAUAUUUAAAAGUCUUAUAACUUUUUAUUUUUGUCCUCACUGGCCUCCAUGUUUUCUAGGAUGAUGCAAUGUCCAGCCAUCAACACAUUUGUGAAGGAGUUUUUUCUCUUUAAAAGAGCGCCCCCCAUGGCAGGAGAAUAAAGUCAAGUUUUUCCUGUUCAUCAUUCAAUGGCUCAAACGCACUGCUCUCUCGGCAAAAGCGAAAGGAGGAGCAACUUGCCAUUUGGAUAUAUCUUAGCUGUGUUUGUGCCCUCACUCAUGGUCCAGACUUUUUUCAAAUAGGACAUGGAGUUUUUCUGCAGCGAGCGUUUUGGUAGAAACUUCGCCUCCCGUUCAUUAUAAUGGUAAAUGACCACAAACAAGUGCGCACACCAUCUUUGGACCUUGAGUGUGACGCGAUCGGGUGGGGGAGGCGGUCGCGCUGGGGGCGGCGUGACACGGCUCGGGCCCGCCAGUGCCCCAACGGGGCCCUAGUUCUUUCUUUCUUUCUUCUUUUUCCUCCCCUUUGAACUGGAAAAUGGCCCACUUCCCACUGGCGAAAACUCAUGAAAUUUGGCAGGACGACCGGGCCUGGUGAAAAAUUUGAUAUUCCGAAGUCGCCCAAACAAGAAAAUGCAAAAUGGCUCCAUAGCGCCCCCUAAGGUGAAAAUUCACACUAUUGACUGUCACGCCUGUACGCUUUGUCAAAAUGACACAAAAAUUGACACACACAUGUAUCUCAAUAAGAUCUACAAAAAAGUCAGUGCGGGCGUAUCUGUCAAAUGUACGGUUAAAGGGUUAUUGCGCAUUUUUUGCCGAUACGCACACAUUGGAAUUUCGCUAACUCCUCCGAAGGCUUUCGUUCCACCGGCACCACAUUUGCUCAGGCCAAUCUACACCCCAUGGCCAUUAAAAGUUAUUCAAAUCAUGACGCUGCACCCCACGGUUUAGGUUCUAGGGGGCGCCAAAGAUAACACUAAAAUCCACAUAUUUCAAAGUCUUAUAACUUUUUAUUUUUGUCCUCACUGGCCUCCAAGUUUUCUAGGAUGAUGCAAUGUCCAGCCAUCAACACAUUUGUGAAGGAAUUUUUACUCCCCAAAAGAGCGCCCCCCCAUGGCAGGAGAUAAAGGUCCAUUUUUUCUUGUCCCCUAAGGUGAAAAUACACAUUGUUGAGUGUCACGCCUGUACGCUUUGUCAAAAUGACACAAAAAUUGACACACACAUGUAUCUCAAUAAGAUCUACAAAAAAGUCAAUGGGCGCGUAUCUGUCAAAUGUACGGUUAAAGGGUUAUUGCGCAUUUUUUGCCGAUCCGCACACAUUGGAAUUUCGCUAACUCCUCCGAAGGCUUUCGUUCCACCGGCACCACAUUUGCUCAGGCCAAAUUACACCCCAUGGCCAUUAAAAGUUAUUCAAAUCAUGACGCUGCACCCCACGGUUUACGUUCUAGGGGGCGCCAAAGAUAACCCAAAAAUCCAAAUUUUUAAAAGUCUUAUAACUUUUUAUUUUUGUCCUCACUGGCCUCCAAGUUUUCUAGGAUGAUGCAAUGUCCAGCCAUCAACA
rnacentral:lncRNA from 1 species